GGACAGUCAUCGCCGAGUCCCCACAUGGCGCGAGCCAGGGGAGCCGGGGACCCACACCACAAGUCCCUGGGGUGAAUCGGACGCCCGCGCGCACCGCGAGGGGGUCCGUAGGAGACCUUCCUGCUCCGAACCCGUCAGCUAACCCGGUAGGCGAGAGGGAAGGAAAGG
rnacentral:sRNA from 2 species